rnacentral:rRNA from 1 species
AAUCAACGCUGGCGGCGUGCCUCAGACAUGCAAGUCGAACGCGAAAGUCCCCUUCGGGGGACGAGUAGAGUGGCGCACGGGUGAGUAACACGUGGGUAAUCUACCUCUGGGUGGGGAAUAACAGCCGGAAACGGCUGCUAAUACCGCAUAACGCAGCGGCACCACAUGGUGACAGUUGUUAAAGCGGGGGAUCUUCGGACCUCGCGCCCGGAGAGGAGCCUGCGGCGGAUUAGCUAGUUGGCGGGGUAACGGCCCACCAAGGCGACGAUCCGUAGCCGGCCUGAGAGGGCGGUCGGCCUCACUGGCACUGACAUACGGGCCAGACUCCUACGGGAGGCAGCAGUCGGGAAUUUUGGGCAAUGGGCGCAAGCCUGACCCAGCAACGCCGCGUGAAGGAUGAAGUUUUUCGGAAUGUAAACUUCAUAAGAAUGGGACGAAUAAGGAAGGGCUAACACCUCUUCCGAUGACGGUACCAUUUGUAAGCUCCGGCUAACUCCGUGCCAGCAGCCGCGGUAAUAC